rnacentral:rRNA from 1 species
AGAGUUUGAUCCUGGCUCAGAGCGAACGCUGGCGGCAGGCUUAACACAUGCAAGUCGAACGCCAUCUUCGGAUGGAGUGGCAGACGGGUGAGUAACGCGUGGGAACGUACCCUUUGGUUCGGAAUAUUCUCGGGAAACUGGGAGCAAUACCGGAUAAGCCCUACGGGGGAAAGAUUUAUCGCCAAAGGAGCGGCCCGCGUCAGAUUAGGUAGUUGGUGGGGUAAAGGCCUACCAAGCCUACGAUCUGUAGCUGGUCUGAGAGGAUGAUCAGCCACACUGGGACUGAGACACGGCCCAGACUCCCACGGGAGGCAGCAGUGGGGAAUCUUGGACAAUGGGCGCAAGCCUGAUCCAGCCAUGCCGCGUGGAUGAUGAAGGCCUUAGGGUUGUAAAAUCCUUUCAACGGGGACGAUAAUGACGGUACCCGUAGAAGAAGCCCCGGCUAACUUCGUGCCAGCAGCCGCGGUAAUACGAAGGGGGCUAGCGUUGCUCGGAAUUACUGGGCGUAAAGCGCACGUAGGCGGAUAUUUAAGUCGGAGGUGAAAGCCCAGGG